AUUGAACGCUGGCGGCAGGCUUAACACAUGCAAGUCGAGCGGAGGUGAGGUGCUUGCACCUUAUCUUAGCGGCGGACGGGUGAGUAAUGCUUAGGAAUCUGCCUAUUAGUGGGGGACAACAUUCCGAAAGGAAUGCUAGUACCGCAUACGCCCUACGGGGGAAAGCAGGGGAUCUUCGGACCUUGCGCUAAUAGAUGAGCCUAAGUCGGAUUAGCUAGUUGGUGGGGUAAAGGCCUACCAAGGCGACGAUCUGUAGCGGGUCUGAGAGGAUGAUCCGCCACACUGGGACUGAGACACGGCCCAGACUCCUACGGGAGGCAGCAGUGGGGAAUAUUGGACAAUGGGCGGAAGCCUGAUCCAGCCAUGCCGCGUGUGUGAAGAAGGCCUUUUGGUUGUAAAGCACUUUAAGCGAGGAGGAGGCUACCUGGAUUAAUACUCUAGGAUAGUGGACGUUACUCGCAGAAUAAGCACCGGCUAACUCUGUGCCAGCAGCCGCCGUAACAC
rnacentral:rRNA from 1 species